GAUGAAGAACGUAGCGAAAUGCGAUAAGUAGUGUGAAUUGCAGAAUUCAGUGAAUCAUCGAAUCUUUGAACGCACAUUGCGCCUCCUGGCAUUCCGGGAGGCAUGCCUGUUCGAGCGUCAUCAAACCCCAUCGUGCAAAUGAAUUAUUUUUUUUGCGCGGAAGUGACGAUUGAGCGAGAAUAACAAAUCCUCUCGCACCUCGUCGAAAUGAUUGCGGGCGGAAUUUGGGAUCGGGUUCCUCGGCGUAGUGUAUCAAUGCAUAUUUAUGCAACUUGCCGCGGAGUUGAGCCUGACCCACGCGUUCUCGCCGUACAAACACCUCAUUACUUUACAAGUUUUUGACCUCGGAUCAGGUAGGGAUACCCGCUGAACUUAAGCAUACAAUAAGCGGAGGA
rnacentral:misc_RNA from 1 species